rnacentral:rRNA from 1 species
UACGGGGGGGGCAAGCGUUGUUCGGAAUUACUGGGCGUAAAGGGCUCGUAGGCGGCCAACUAAGUCAGACGUGAAAUCCCUCGGCUUAACCGGGGAACUGCGUCUGAUACUGGAUGGCUUGAGUUUGGGAGAGGGAUGCGGAAUUCCAGGUGUAGCGGUGAAAUGCGCAGAUAUCAGGAGGAACACCGGUGGCGAAGGCGGGUCUCUGGGCCGAUACUGACGCUGAGGAACGAAAGCGUGGGGAGCGAACAGG